rnacentral:rRNA from 1 species
UACGGAAGGGGCAAGCGUUGUUCGGAAUCAUUGGGCGUAAAGGGCGCGUAGGUGGUUCUGUAUGUCUACCGUGAAAGCGUACGGCUCAACCGUAUUUUGUCGGUGGAAACUGCAGGACCUGAGGCUGGGAGGGGCUGGUGGAAUUCCACGUGUAGCAGUGAAAUGCGUAGAGAUGUGGAGGAACACCGAUGGCGAAGGCAGCCCCCUGGGCUAACACUGACGCUCAGGCACGAAAGCGUGGGGAGCAAACAGG